rnacentral:rRNA from 1 species
ACGUUAGCGGCGGACGGGUGAGUAACACGUGGGUAACCUACCUAUAAGACUGGGAUAACUUCGGGAAACCGGAGCUAAUACCGGAUAAUACUUCGAACCGCAUGGUUCGAUAGUGAAAGAUGGUUUUGCUAUCACUUAUAGAUGGACCCGCGCCGUAUUAGCUAGUUGGUAAGGUAACGGCUUACCAAGGCGACGAUACGUAGCCGACCUGAGAGGGUGAUCGGCCACACUGGAACUGAGACACGGUCCAGACUCCUACGGGAGGCAGCAGGC